rnacentral:rRNA from 1 species
GACGAAGGGGGCUAGCGUUGUUCGGAAUUACUGGGCGUAAAGCGCGUGUAGGCGGUUGUCCAAGUCGGGUGUGAAAGCCUUGAGCUCAACUCAAGAAAUGCACUCGGUACUGGGCGACUAGAGGACCGGAGAGGAUAGUGGAAUUCCCAGUGUAGUGGUGAAAUACGUAGAGAUUGGGAAGAACACCAGUGGCGAAGGCGGCUAUCUGGACGGUUUCUGACGCUAAGACGCGAAAGCGUGGGGAGCAAAC